rnacentral:rRNA from 1 species
AGUUCGAACGAACUCUGGUAUUGAUUGGUGCUUGCAUCAUGAUUUACAUUUGAGUGAGUGGCGAACUGGUGAGUAACACGUGGGAAACCUGCCCAGAAGCGGGGGAUAACACCUGGAAACAGAUGCUAAUACCGCAUAACAACUUGGACCGCAUGGUCCGAGCUUGAAAGAUGGCUUCGGCUAUCACUUUUGGAUGGUCCCGCGGCGUAUUAGCUAGAUGGUGGGGUAACGGCUCACCAUGGCAAUGAUACGUAGCCGACCUGAGAGGGUAAUCGGCCACAUUGGGACUGAGACACGGCCCAAACUCCUACGGGAGGCAGCAGUAGGGAAUCUUCCACAAUGGACGAAAGUCUGAUGGAGCAACGCCGCGUGAGUGAAGAAGGGUUUCGGCUCGUAAAACUCUGUUGUUAAAGAAGAACAUAUCUGAGAGUAACUGUUCAGGUAUUGACGGUAUUUAACCAGAAAGCCACGGCUAACUACGUGCCAGCAGCCGCGGUAAUACGUAGGUGGCAAGCGUUGUCCGGAUUUAUUGGGCGUAAAGCGAGCGCAGGCGGUUUUUUAAGUCUGAUGUGAAAGCCUUCGGCUCAACCGAAGAAGUGCAUCGGAAACUGGGAAACUUGAGUGCAGAAGAGGACAGUGGAACUCCAUGUGUAGCGGUGAAAUGCGUAGAUAUAUGGAAGAACACCAGUGGCGAAGGCGGCUGUCUGGUCUGUAACUGACGCUGAGGCUCGAAAGUAUGGGUAGCAAACAGGAUUAGAUACCCUGGUAGUCCAUACCGUAACGAUGAAUGC